rnacentral:piRNA from 1 species
UGAGGUAGUUGGAGAAAUUUUUCU